rnacentral:rRNA from 1 species
GCAAGUCGAGGGAGGAAUUAUCUUCGGAUAAUGGAAACCGGCGCACGGGUGCGUAACACGUGGGAAUCUACACUGAGGUUGAGAAUAACGCAUGGAAACGUGUGCUAAUGCUCUAUAAUGGCUCCGGCCCAAAGCUCCGGCGCCUCAGGAUGAGCCCGCGUCUGAUUAGGUAGUUGGUGAGGUAAUGGCUCACCAAGCCGACGAUCAGUAGCUGGUCUGAGAGGACGAUC